UUGUACACACCGCCCGUCGCUACUACCGAUUGGAUGGCUCAGUGAGGCUUUCGGACUGGCCCAGAGAGGCGGGCAACUGCUCCUCCGGGCCGGAAAGUUAUCCAAACUCGGUCAUCUAGAGG
rnacentral:rRNA from 1 species